CCCCGCCCCGCCCCGCCCCGCCCCGAGCCUGCCUUGCCCAGUCCGCCCUGUCCUCCAGCAGGGCGAGGCCCGACUCCGGUCGUUCUGCCACGUUUGAGCGGGCGAGCCUGGCGGCCGGGAGACGCCGGGGAACGGGGCUGGUGGGGUGCAGAGGCGCGGUUCCAUCGCCUUCCGCCCUGCGGUGGGGGCUCGGGGCAAGUAGGGGGACGGCAGAGGCGGUGUUCGGUGCAGGGCCGCGCCCUGGGCUCCUGAAAAUAAAUUACCUUGAGGGGCUGAGUGCGGUGGCUCAUGCAUGUAAUUCCAACACUUUGGGAGGCAAAGGCUGGAGGGUCCCUUGAGCCUUGGAGUUCAAGAAGAUCGGCAUGGGUUACAUGCCAGGGCUGCAGUCAUUUGAAGGCUUGACUAGGGCUAGAGGAUUUUCAUCCAAGAUGGCUCACUCACCCAGCUGUCGGCAGGAGACCUCAGUUCUUUGCCACACGGACUUCUCCAUAAGACUUUAGAUCUGGUAUUACUAUAUUGCCUAGAAUGGACUUGAACUCCUAGGCCGAAGGGAUCCUGCCAUCUCAAUUUCCCAAGUAACUGAGAUUACAGACAUGAACCACCACGCCUAGCUCUCUCCCAGUGUAUUGAAGGAGUCCAUGCAAGUAAUGCCUGCCUUCCCCUAUGCAGGCUGUGGCCAUCCCAAGCUGCACAUCAGGCUAUUUUUUGGAUAUUGAUGAUACUGUUAAACUGAAUAUCAUGGCCCCUGUGCAAGGAUGACACACAAGUUCGUGAAGCAUUCCAUAUUUUAUAAAUUUUUGAAUUAAAAUUGUUAAAAAAAUAAACUGAAUGUGUUCUCUGCCAUCUUCACCCAAAAUACCUGUCCAGUCACCAUUUACUCAUCUUUCGAGACUCAGAAGUCAGCUGUGGUACCAAGCCUUUUCUGACCUUCCCAGAUGAAUAACCAACGCAGCGAGAUGAGGAAAUUUACCAAAGCCAUACAACUAACAAGGAGAGACGGUGGAGGAAAGGGAGGAGGAUGAGGAAGACGGGAUGAAGAGAGAUAGGGUCUCCCUCUGCCACCCAGGCUGGAGUACAGUGACACGAUCUCGGCUGACUGCAACCUCUGCCUCCCGGGUUCAAGCGAUUCUUCUGCCUCAGCCUCCCGAGUAGCUGGGACUACAGGAGUGUGCCACCACAUCCAGCUAAUUUUUGUAAUUUUAGUAGAGAUGGGGUGUCAUCAUAUUGGCCAGGCUGGUCUCGAACUCCUGACCUAGUGAUCCAUCCACCUCGGCCUCCCAAAGUGCUGGGAUUACAGACGUGAGCCACUGUGCCCGGUCUCUCUUAAAUAUAUUUCUACAUAAUUUUCAAAUUAUUGUGAAAAGUAUAUAGAAAUGCAAUAGAUUUUUUAAAAAUAAAUAGAGACAGGAUCUCAUUAUGUUUCCCAGGCUGAUCUCAAACUCCUGGGCUCAAGUCUGUCCCGGCCUCCCAAAGUGCUGGAAUUACAGGUGUGAGCUACUGCACCGGACAAAAAUGCAGUAGAUUUUAAAAUAUUGGCCUUACAUCCUGUGACUUUGCUAAAUUCCCUUAUUAGUUCAGUUUUGAUUAUUUUGGGUUGUCUAGGUACACAAUCAUGUUAUAUACAAAUAAAGACCAUUUUACUUGUAUUUUGGAUAUGUGUAUAUAUUUAAAUUAUUUUGUGCCUGGAAUGUGCCAGUUGUUGUUGGGAGCUGGGUCUAUGGUGGUGAAUAAAACAAUCUUUGAAAUGUC